ACCCGCUGAACUUAAGCAUAUCAAUAAGCGGAGGAAAAGAAACUAACAAGGAUUCCCCUAGUAACUGCGAGUGAAGCGGGAAAAGCUCAAAUUUAAAAUCUGGUGGUCUUUGGCCAUCCGAGUUGUAAUCUAGAGAAGUGUUAUCCGCGCUGGACCGUGUACAAGUCCCCUGGAAUGGGGCGUCAUAGAGGGUGAGAAUCCCGUCUUUGACACGGACUACCAGGGCUUUGUGAUGCACUCUCAAAGAGUCGAGUUGUUUGGGAAUGCAGCUCAAAAUGGGUGGUAAAUUCCAUCUAAAGCUAAAUAUUGGCGAGAGACCGAUAGCGAACAAGUACCGUGAGGGAAAGAUGAAAAGAAGUUUGGGAAGAGAGUUAAACAGUACGUGAAAUGGUUGAAAGGGAAACGCUUGAAGU
rnacentral:rRNA from 1 species